rnacentral:rRNA from 1 species
UUUCGAAUCAUUCACAAUGGGCGAAAGCCUGAUGGUGCGACGCCGCGUGAGGGACGAAGGCCUUCGGGUCGUAAACCUCUGUCACCGGGGAAGAAACGCUAUGUUUUAACAGAUCAUAGCCUGACUUAACCCGGAGAGGAAGCAGUGGCUAACUCUGUGCCAGCAGCCGCGGUAAUACAGAGACUGCGAGCGUUAUUCGGAUUCACUGGGCGUAAAGGGUGCGCAGGCGGUCGUGUGUGUCAGGUGUGAAAUCUCGAGGCUCAACCUCGAAAUGGCGCCUGAAACUACACGACUAGAGUACUGGAGAGGGUAACGGAAUUCACGGUGUAGCAGUGAAAUGCGUAGAUAUCGUGAGGAACACCAGAGGCGAAGGCGGUUACCUGGACAGUUACUGACGCUCAGGCACGAAAGCGUGGGGAGCAAAAGGG